GAUGAACGCUGGCGGCGUGCCUAAUACAUGCAAGUCGAACGCAUAGCGAAAGGUGCUUGCACCUUUCAAGUGAGUGGCGAACGGGUGAGUAACACGUGGACAACCUGCCUCAAGGCUGGGGAUAACAUUUGGAAACAGAUGCUAAUACCGAAUAAAACUUAGUGUCGCAUGACACAAAGUUAAAAGGCGCUUCGGCGUCACCUAGAGAUGGAUCCGCGGUGCAUUAGUUAGUUGGUGGGGUAAAGGCCUACCAAGACAAUGAUGCAUAGCCGAGUUGAGAGACUGAUCGGCCACAUUGGGACUGAGACACGGCCCAAACUCCUACGGGAGGCUGCAGUAGGGAAUCUUCCACAAUGGGCGAAAGCCUGAUGGAGCAACGCCGCGUGUGUGAUGAAGGCUGUCGGGUCGUAAAGCACUGUUGUAUGGGAAGAACAGCUAGAAUAGGAAAUGAUUUUAGUUUGACGGUACCAUACCAGAAAGGGACGGCUAAAUACG
rnacentral:rRNA from 1 species